GAGGGUGUAGCCCAGUGGGAGGGAGUGUGCUCAGCAUGCAUGAGGUCCUGGGUUCAAUCCCCAGCACCUCCA
rnacentral:tRNA from 1 species